rnacentral:tRNA from 1 species
UCCCUGAUAGCUCAGUUGGUAGAGCACACGGCUGUUAACCGUGUUGUCGCUGGUUCGAGCCCAGCUCGGGGAGCCA